CCUACGGGUGGCAGCAGUGAGGAAUAUUGGUCAAUGGCCGGAAGGCUGAACCAGCCAAGCCGCGUGAAGGACGAAGGUGCAAAGGAUUGUAAACUUCUUUUGUCAAGGGACAAAAUCAGGCGCGAGAGCCUGACCGAGGGGACGUGAAGAAAAAGCAUCGGGUAACUCCGUGCCAGGAGCCGCGGUAAUACGGAGGAUGCGAGCGUUAGCCGGAUUUAUUGGGGUUCAAGGGAGCGUCGACGGCAGCACAAGUCUGGCGUGAAAUCCCGGGGCUUAACCCCGGAACUGCUUUGGAAACUGUGCGGCUUGAGUGCAGGAGGGGUAAGCGGAAUUCCUAGUGUAGCGGUGAAAUGCGUAGAUAUU
rnacentral:rRNA from 1 species